rnacentral:lncRNA from 1 species
GGCUUUAUAUAGGGGAGGGGGCGUGGCCAAAAGGAAGUGGGCGGGGCUUAAGAGGAAAUUGGGGGCGUGGCCUCGGGGGGAACCGCGAAACCCCGCUGGGUUUUGGCCACGCCCCCUUUUCCGGUUGCGGUUAAUGGGGUGGGCGGGGCUUAAAGGGGGCGGGGCUUAAAUGAAGGAGGCGUGGCUUAGAGAGAAGGGGCGUGGCUUCGGUGUUCCCCUUUGCUCUGACCACGCCCCCUUCUUUCCGUAUAUGGCAAUAGGGGCGUGGCCUCGGUGUCCCGCCCUGUUCUGACCACGCCCCCUUCUUUCCGUAUAUGGCAAUGUGGGCGGGGCUUGAAUGGAUGGAGGCGUGGUUUAAUCGUAGCCCCGCCCCCUCGCCGACCCCACUCACCCCACACCCUUUAUUCGCCCUAUAGGACACAGGGGACGUUAUCAAGUUCUGGUGGCACCUUUAUUGGUUCCAUCUGCUCCUGCCCUGACCCCCCCCACCCCCCCAUGGUGGCCCUGGGGGUCCCCAAGGUGGACAUGGGGGUCCCAUUGGUGACUAUGGGGGUCCCAUUGGGGGUCCCAUUGGUGGUACUGUCCCCAUUGGUGACUAUGGGGGUCCCACUGGGGGUCCUGGGGGUCCCAUUAAUGGCUAUGGGGGUCCCAUUGGUGGCCAUGGGGGUCCCAUUAAUGACUAUGAUGGUCCCAUUGGUGGAGAUGGGGGUCCCAUUGGUGGUCCUGGGGGUCCUAUUGGUGGCCCUGGGGGUCCCCAAGGUGGCCAUGGGGGUCCCAUUGGUGACUAUGGGGGUCCCAUUGGUGGUCCUGUCCCCAUUGGUGGCCCUGGGGGUCCCCAAGGUGGCCNUCCCCAAGGUGGCCAUGGGGGUCCCAUUGGUGACUAUGGGGGUCCCAUUGGUGGUCCUGUCCCCAUUGGUGGCCCUGGGGGUCCCCAAGGUGGCCCUGGGGGUCCCACUGGUGACUAUGGGGGUCCCAUUGGUGACUAUGGGGGUCCCUUUGGUGGUCCUGUCCCCAUUGGUGCCUAUGGGGGUCCUGGGGGUCCUAUUGGUGGCCCUGGGGGUCCCCAAGGUGGACAUGGGGGUCCCAUUGGUGACUAUGGGGGUCCCAUUGGUGGUCCCAUUCCCAAGGUGGCCAUGGGGAUCCUAUUGGUUGUCCUGGGGGUCCCCAUUUAGUGGCUCUGGGGGUCCCAUAGGUGGUCCCAUCCCAUUAGUGGCCCUGGGGGGUUUCAUUGGUGGCACAGGGGGUCCUCAAGGUGGUCCUGUCCCCAUUGGGGUCCCAUUUAGUGGCAUUGGGGACCCUUUGGCGUCCCUAUGGUGUCCCUAUAGUGGCCAUAGGGUCCCAUUAGGUGGCACUGGGGACCCUUUAUUGUUCCUAUGGUGUCCCUGUAUUGGCCAUUGGGUCCCAUUAGGUGGCAUUGGGGUCCCUUUAGCGUCCCUAUAG